rnacentral:rRNA from 1 species
UCUGACUNGAGUGCAGAAGGGGAGAGUGGANUUCCAUGUGUGGCGGUGAAAUGCGUAGAUAUAUGGAGGAACACCAGUGGCGAAAGCGGCUCUCUGGUCUGUCACUGACGCUGAGGCUCGAAAGCGUGGGUAGCGAACAGGAUUAGAUACCCUGGUAGUCCACGCCGUAAACGAUGAGUGCUAGGUGUUAGGCCCUUUCCGGGGCUUAGUGCCGGAGCUAACGCAAUAAGCACUCCGCCUGGGGAGUACGACCGCAAGGUUGAAACUCAAAGGAAUUGACGGGGGCCCGCACAAGCGGUGGAGCAUGUGGUUUAAUUCGAAGCAACGCGAAGAACCUUACCAGGUCUUGACAUCCCGAUGCUAUUCUUAGAGAUAGGAAGUUACUUCGGUACAUCGGAGACAGGUGGUGCAUGGUUGUCGUCAGCUCGUGUCGUGAGAUGUUGGGUUAAGUCCCGCAACGAGCGCAACCCUUAUUGUUAGUUGCCAUCAUUAAGUUGGGCACUCUAGCGAGACUGCCGGUAAUAAACCGGAGGAAGGUGGGGAUGACGUCAAAUCAUCAUGCCCCUUAUGACCUGGGCUACACACGUGCUACAAUGGUCGGUACAACGAGUUGCGAGCCGGUGACGGCAAGCUAAUCUCUGAAAGCCGAUCUCAGUUCGGAUUGGAGGCUGCAACUCGCCUCCAUGAAGUCGGAAUCGCUAGUAAUCGCGGAUCAGCACGCCGCGGUGAAUACGUUCCCGGGCCUUGUACACACCGCCCGUCACACCACGAGAGUUUGUAACACCCGAAGUCGG